rnacentral:misc_RNA from 1 species
GAUGAAGAACGUAGCGAAAUGCGAUAAGUAAUGUGAAUUGCAGAAUUCAGUGAAUCAUCGAAUCUUUGAAAGCACAUUGCGCCCGCCAGUAUUCUGGCGGGCAUGCCUGUUCGAGCGUCAUUUCAACCCUCAAGCCCCCGGGCUUGGUGUUGGGGAUCGGCGUGCCCUCGCGGCGCGCCGUCCCCUAAAUCUAGUGGCGGUCUCGCUGUAGCUUCCUCUGCGUAGUAGCAACACUCGCACUGGAUCGCAGCGCGGCCACGCCGUUAAACCCCCCACUUCUGAAAGUUUGACCUCGGAUCAGGUAGGAAUACCCGCUGAACUUAAGCAUAUCAAUAAGCGGAGGA